rnacentral:lncRNA from 1 species
UACCGUGAGAACCAUAAGUCACCAGGAUACUACGAUGGCAGAUACUGGACCAUGUGGAAGUUGCCCAUGUUCGGGUGCACUGAUGCAACCCAGGUCUUGGCUGAGGUGCAGGAGGCAAAGAAGGCUUACCCACAGGCAUGGGUCCGUAUCAUCGGAUUCGACAAUGUUCGUCAAGUGCAGUGCAUCAGUUUCAUCGCUUACAAGCCCGAAGGAUACUAAGUUCUAGAAAAACUAAUUGCCCUAUGUUUAUAGGGACAGUUUGUUUGAAUUCUCCUUUGGGUUUUCCCUUGAGAAAUUGUAUUCAUUUUCCCUUGUUUUCCAUCUUUUUAUUCCGUGUAUGAUUAAUUCGAAUUUCAAUCAAGUUUACAAGAACUAUAUUAAUGAUAUUUGUUUCUUUACUAAUCUCUUUCUGAAAAAUUGCUUAAUUUGUGGUUUAUUUAUAUAGCUAGUGAAGAAACCUUACCCAGAACACGAACCAGGUUCGUGUAGUAAAGAUACAAACACUUAUUGAAUUAAAAACCUUCCUCACUCAAGGAAGGAAAAACCUUGUUUUAUUAAUUCAACUAUAAGAUUUUGUGAUUACAACUCAAUAAUCAAAAGUCUUAUCUCUACUACUCCCUCGAUUGACUCCAAUCGAUCUCUCCAAAAGGCCAAACCCACCUUUUGUUACAACUCUUACUAAGACUCAACCCUACAAAGAGUCAAACCCACGUAGUAAUCCUAUCAACCUUGAAGACUUCAAUUUGAUGAAUAAUUCUCCCUUGUUCUCUGCGUGAAGUCGUCGUAUUCUUCAUACGCGUCUUUUUCUUCUUAUAGAGUUCCUUUUGCCUUCAGUCCUCAGAUAAGGUAAGGAAGUUAUUAUUAAACAAGGAUUCCCUUUUAAAGUACAAUCCUUAUUAUAUACAACUUCCUUCCUUAAUAAUAUAUUUAAGGUUUUCCUUAUUUGUAUCAACUUAUACCUUUAAUAUAUUAUUUUUGGCUUUGACAAAUAACUCUAUUUUCUUGAUUACUUGGCUAAUCCAUUUCAUUUUACUCGAUCUUGGCUUCUUUUGCUGCGUACAUUUGCUAUUGAUUAUUUGUGCUUCUUGUCUAUCAUCAAAACAUGAAUUAUCGAUUCUAUCAUAUUCUAUCAGCUAGCUAGCACCACAAACUUGGAUUUGGCUUUAGAUUACUUCACUCCAGCCAUACUCCAUGGCAAUGGCCUCAUUGUAUGCGCUGCUUAGAAAUAGACCAAUUUUAAUUUGUUGCUAUUGUAGUCAUAUUUUAAUUAUACGAUUAUUUACACGAGACAGUGCAGGGUUCGCAAAUUGAUUUCAUCUCUUAAAGUUUCUGUCUAUAGUUGGAAAGAAUAGCAGGACAUUUUUAGUACGUUUUUUAAAGAAGCAUAUCCAUUACUAUCCCACAGUUUGAGAGUGUUCAUCCUAACUUUCUUGUACUUUUCCCUGUUGAGGAUAUUUAUUUAAACUAUUAAUAAAAGACGAGUAGACAUCUAUCUAGUGGUAUAAAUUCUCAACAAAAAUAAUAAUAAAAAAAUAGCAUGCAUUGGUUCCAAAGAAGUGUACAUUGGUAUAACUACUACAACAACAUAUUGUGUGAAAUCCCACGAGAGGAAAUUGAAAUUGAGUGGGAAACAAAUGUUUUUUGCAGAGAAUAUGAUGAAGCAUUAAAAAAAGAAACUGACAAAUUCUUCGCUGAAGCUAUUCUGUUGAAGUUGUUUAACCAUGAAAAGGUUAUGAAAUGCUUCUCUUAUUAGUUCGGUCCCAAGUCCAAAACUCUCUACAUGAUCACAGAGUCAUUCCCCUCAGGCAGCUUGAAAAAGUAUUGGUCAAAGUACGAUAAUGGCGUUGCUAUUGAUUUGGCGAGUAACAAAAAUUGGGGCAGGAAGAUUCUUGAAGAUUUGAAUUUUCUUCAUUGUCAGAGGCAGGCAGAGUCUGGAAGGUUUGAACUUUCUUCAUUGUCAGAGCCCUAAGAUCGUCCAUCGAGACAUCACGACAAUGUGUUCAUUCAGAGUGGUGGGAACUGGGAAGCGAGUUACGCUUGGAGAAUUUGGGUUGGCAGAAGAGAUUCACUUGUUAUGGUUCUUGAACUAUCACUAUACAUUUCAUAACACCUGCACAAUCAGCAUAGCUGAAUAUCAAUCAACAAUUGAGAAAGAAGGGAGUGACUUAAAUAUCACAUCAGGAUUGUGAUGUAACCCAGCCUACUAGUACUUUGAUUGUGGAAAUGACAUAAAUAAGCUUCAAACAAUAAUAUUUUCCACGACCUCCACCCCACCAUUAUCAAGGACGGUGAUGAGUUUUCAAUUGUGAGCAAUACCAAACUUUGCGAGCUCAUGAACAUGGUUUUAAUUCUCCAUCUCAUUGAUCUACUUCUAAUUCUACACAAUGAAAGCUAUUUACUCCAAAAAUAAAGCUUCUUUUUCCGCUUGUCAACCUACAUUUACAAUUCAAACUAUGCACUGAAAAGUACUAGUAAUGCAUAAUAGAUGCUAUUAAGUUUGAUUGCAAAAAAGACGUACAAUCAUCAAAUAAACAUGCCUAACAAUAAUGACAAUAUUUUCAACUUCCAAACUUAUGAUAAGAAGAUAAAUCAUAACCAUUAUGAACUGCAAAUUACUAUCAUUCAAACAAAUCCAUGAUAUUGUAGCGCAAAGAAGACACACAACAUGUCAAAUUGUUAGCUUUCUACUUUUUCCUGAUUGAUUAAUAUGGCCAUCCAUCGAUCUUUUAUAAGGGACACAAACUUAUUAGUGUUUCCUGUUGUGCAUUUUAUCCAACACAAAGAAGUUCGGCUAAUUGUAAUGUUCCUGCAAAAUCAGCCACACUUUAUUCAUUUGAGUCCCACUGGACAAAAGUCUGUCUGUAUUACAGAUUUUAAGUAUGUAUUAUAAAAGUCAACCAAUCAGCCUUUAAACUUGAACCCUACUUCAGAUCAAGCAAUCACCCAACCAGUUUCAAUAACAAUCUUAUCUAAGAAUUCAGUUCCAAGAACAAACUUAUCUGAAGAAUAAAUGUAAAAAUACUCGAUGCUAAAAGAAACUGAAGUUAACGUCAUCCUGUAUGUGGUAAUAUAUCGUAUAGAUACUGUUCUAAAAAAACCUGUUAUUUGAUGGGUGUUAGUUAAUAGAAAAAAAUUCGACUAACCAGAAUAUCAAGGAGCAUUUGAAUUGCCGCGUUGCUUUUCAAUUUCUUGCUUUUGUUUCUCAGCAAGUUUAUCCAAAGCAGCUUCCAGAGCAUCCCGACCUCCAAUAAGCAACCUGGUGAUGACCUCUGGAUCUCUCUCAAAUUGUGCCUCCUCGAACUCUUUUCGGACAUUUUCUCUAAGAACAUCCCGCCAGGGAAUGCCUUGAGAGUUGGCCCACAUGAAGAAGCGGGUUGCGCGGAUGACAUCUCGGUAGAGACUUAGAGCCUCGCGUCGACUGCUAGUGAGUCGUUGUCUAUUUAGGAGCUCGUUCUCGUCAUCAUCAAGGUUCUUCUCCUUUUUGACCACAUGUCUAUCCAAUAGUUCCUCCAUAGUGUCUGGACCAUGGUGCAGGAGGCAAUAGUGAUGCAAGAGCCAUCUUGACUUGAAACUAUGAUCCAAAGCAGUUGAAAGAUUUCGGAACUUUCGAAUAUUAGCAUUCAUCUGAAACCUCGACUUGACUGGUACAGAAAGAGAAACAAGACUUUAGAGAAAUCGUACUUCAUCAUAUACUUCACACGAGAAACGCAUGUAGAUCAACAUGAAGUGAAAAAUGGUCCAAGUUAAAAAUAAACUUGUUAAGAAGGUCAGUAACAUCCAAACAGAAAGUCUUGCUUUUCUUAAGAAUGCUAUCAAACACAAUAGCCAGAGAACAGAAGUGGUGCGCAUCUUCUGGUAUGAGAGAUACUACAACAGCAACAACAACAUACAACAUACCCGAGAAAUCUCACAAAGUGGGGGUAUGCCAGAUACUACAUGAUUGGAAUAUAUUCCAGCUGAUUCAAUACUUUCUACAGCAAUGCACGACAGGAAUAAAGAUGAACAAAAUCAAAAAAAAAAAAAGAACUUCUCUUUUUCCAUUUGGGCGCGUAAUGAAAGAGCUCCAUGUGGAAGAAUGGGAGAACCCACAUGCUUAUUCCAUUCAGUUUAAUCAGAAUUCAAGCAUAAUCAAUUUGGAAAAAGCAUAACCAAAACAGUAUAGAACAGAGAAAAUAGAUAAAUUAGAAGACAGCAACACUAUAAAAAGAACAAUUUACUCUUCACCGGAACUUCUCCUAACAAAAUGUAAUCAACAGGUACUGGCAACAUAACACAAAAAAAAUUUGACUACAACAUACACAAUUGAGUUCACACAAAAAAAAAAUUAAAAUCUGAAAGUAGCCCUAAUUACAGAAAAAAGAUUGAAGAUGUAACCUGUUGUAGGUAUCUGCAAAUUAGUGAGUGGAAAAGAGAGAAUGCACAACAAUACUUUGGGCAAUUAGCGUUGUAGGAACGGAAGAAGAAUUGGAAAAUAGUGUUUGGCAAUUGCGGGUCGAAAAAUGGGUUAAAAUGGCAAUUGCGGGUAGAGAAGAUGGGCCAUAAAUGGUUACAAAAUAGAUAUGGGCUCAACAUAUUUUCUGGGCAGCCAAUUUUAAAGGCAUUUUCCUUUGAGGAAAUAAUUUCUUUGGACUUCAGAAUAUGAGUUGAAAGUAAUAAUUCUAAUAAUGAAAUUAAACAAGGAUGAUUAAAUGGCAACAAAAUGGAGUAAUAUGGAUAAUCAACGCAACUAUAUAGAGAAAAAAUAAUAGCGCUACCAUAUACGAAAAAUAGUAAAAAAUUAUAAUAAUGAUUCAGAAUAAAUUAUUAAUAACUAAAAAGCGUAAAGAAAUAAAUUAGAGAAUAAGUGAUACAAAAUUGGAUGUUAAUGGAUACUUCUUAUAAUUGCUUAAAAGGAAUACAAGAUGGGAAAUAAUGUGUUAUUAUUAUUGAUGUAUAAAGAAUUUGUACAAUUUUUGUAUCAAUAAAGUUCCAAAAAUAAUCUUUAAAAAAUAAAAGUACCCUUUUAUGAACUUUUUAUCAAAUAAAUGAAAUCCAAUAUUAGCAAAACAUUGAUAUUAUUACUAAAUAUUUGUUAAAUUAAAAAAUAUGUCAUUUUAUUUUUUAACAGAUAUUUUUUAAAGUAAAUGUUAUAAAUUACGAAAAAGGGAUUAAUGAGUAUCAAAACAGCCUAAAUGGGAGGAGACAAUAACAGAAAUUUGCUGUAGUAAGGUGGCUUAAGUCAUCAUUUAAUUUGAUAUUAUAAAAAUUCUAAUUAGUUUAUAGUCUUUCUUUUCCUCUUUUGUUUGUCUUGUAUGCUAAAAAAGGUAUAUUAUAUCUAUAAAUUAUGUAGCAUAAUGACCACAUCUGGCAUCAUCUUUACACAAUUCACCUAAAUAUCUCAAGCGAAGUUUUGCCAAAACUGAAGAAAAGAUUUGAACAACCUAUCAAGUAACAAAAAUCCCAAACAAUAUAGUCAUCUAUAUUAAAUCUUUUCAAUUGAAGAAAUUGUCAAAGACACAUACCUCUAUGAGUUUUUUCAUCAAUUUUUUUUUCUUUUUUAAACUGUAUUUUUAAAAAAAUAUUGAAUAAAACAUGUCCUAUUCAUUAGUUUGGGAACUUUAAGAUAAGGAGUGUGUAAUUUCAGAGGCUAUUAAUUUUGAAAUGUCAAGAGCCACAUAAUCCAAUGGUUAUGGUUGCUCUUAGAUGAGGUUAUUGCUUUAGGUGAAACCUUAUCAUCAUUAUAUAUACAAGGGGAUACUAGAGACCAAUUAUUGUCAACAAUGGCUUCCUCUAUAGUUUCUUCAGCUGCUGUUGCCACCCGCGGCAAUGGUGCACAAGCUAGCAUGGUUGCACCCUUCACUGGACUCAAGUCCACUGCUUCUUUCCCUGUUUCAAGGAAGCAAAACCUUGACAUUACCUCCAUUGCUAGCAACGGUGGAAGAGUCAGUUGCAUGCAGGUUUGUGUGUGUAUAUAUAUAUAUGUACAACAAAAUUCAUUGACUAUAAUGCUAUACUCGAUUAGCUAAUUUAACUAUUUAUAAUUGUAUAGGUGUGGCCACCAAUUAACAUGAAGAAGUACGAGACUCUGUCGUACCUUCCUGAUUUGUCCGACGAGCAAUUGCUCAGCGAAAUUGAGUACCUAUUGAAAAAUGGAUGGGUUCCUUGCUUGGAAUUCGAGACUGAGGUUAACCUCUGUUUUUAAAAUUUAUAUAUUAGCUAGUGUGUUGAUAUGUUGUGUUAAUAGUGUUGUGGGAUAUCAUGUGCAGCACGGAUUUGUGUACCGUGAGAACCAUAAGUCACCAGGAUACUACGAUGGCAGAUACUGGACCAUGUGGAAGUUGCCCAUGUUUGGGUGCACUGAUGCAACCCAGGUCUUGGCUGAGGUGCAGGAGGCAAAGAAGGCUUACCCUCAGGCAUGGGUCCGUAUCAUCGGAUUCGACAAUGUUCGUCAAGUGCAGUGCAUCAGUUUCAUCGCUUACAAGCCCGAAGGAUACUAAAAUGCCAAUUUUUAAUUAUGUAAUGUAUAACUGACCCUAUGUAUUUAGGGGAAGCUUGUUUGAAUCCUCCUUAAAGUUUUUCUCUGGAGAAACUGUAGUAAUUUUACUUUGUUGUGUUCCCUUCAUCUUUUGAAUUAAUGGCAUUUGUUUUAAUACUAAUCUGCUUCUGAAACUUGUAAUGUAUGUAUAUCAGUUUCUUAUAAUUUAUCCAAGUAAUAUCUUCCAUUCUCUAUGCAAUUGCCUGCAUAAGCUCGACAAAAGAGUACAUCAACCCCUCCUCCUCUGGACUACUCUAGCUAAACUUGAAUUUCCCCUUAAGAUUAUGAAAUUGAUAUAUCCUUAACAAACGACUCCUUCUGUUGGAAAAUGUAGUACUUGUCUUUCUUCUUUUGGGUAUAUAUAGUUUAUAUACACCAUACUAUGUACAACAUCCAAGUAGAGUGAAAUGGAUACAUGUACAAGACUUAUUUGAUUGAUUGAUGACUUGAGUUGCCUUAGGAGUAACAAAUUCUUAGGUCAAUAAAUCGUUGAUUUGAAAUUAAUCUCUCUGUCUUAGACAGAUAGGAAUUAUGACUUCCAAUGGUCCAGAAAGCAAAGUUCGCACUGAGGGUAUACUUGGAAUUGAGACUUGCACAGGUCCAGAAACCAAAGUUCCCAUCGAGCUCUAAAAUCACAUCUUUGGAAUGAAAUUCAAUUAGAGAUAAGUUGCUUCAUAGCAUAGGUAAAAUGGAAGAUGUGAAGUAACCUGCAAUAAUCAGUGAAAUGACAUUAAUACACUAAAUACUUCAUAUGUAAUUAUCCUUUCCAGGUUAACAAUACUCUAUAAAGUAAGAAUUAUCAGAAAUGGGCUCAUCAAACUUUUGUACUAUGUAUUUCAUAUAAGGAAGUAUAACUAUACAUAAGUGUAUACACAACUUUAUUCCUAUUUUGUAAAGGUGGAGAGACUGUUUUCGAUGGAUCUAAAGCAAUAUGUCUAUAAAAUGCAUUGAUAUAAUAAUUAUCUGAGAAAAUCCAGAAUUGGCGUUGGAUUAUUUCAGCCAAAUAGAAGUUUGUACCAUACUUGUUGAUUCCUUCUAAGUUAAGGUGAAGUAUCAUUCAUAAACAGUUUUCCCCAAAGUACUACUCACCAAGUUUCCCUUUGUAGAAUUAACAGUUCAAAUAUAUGGCGCAGAAAUUACUCUAUGCCCAAAACCAAACGAGAAAGAAACAAAAUACAGGGGUUGCAGACUUUAUUUUCGUGUUAGGGUGUGUUUUUUCAUGUAAUUAAUCAAAAAAUAUUAUGACAAAAACAUUUAUACAUAUUUUUACUCAACACUCUGGGUAUCAGGGUGGGUUGUGUUCGACAAUCAAUAUGGAAAGGAAGUAUUUUCCUUAUUUUUUUAGUUAAUAUUUUCAGUUAUACCAAACAUACCUUGUGAUAUUAUUUUUAAAAAUGAAAAACUCGUCAGAAAGAAAAAGCAAAAGCAACAAAAAAAUUGCAAGUAUUUUUUAAAAAAGAAAAAAAAAACAUAUCUUGUUUGUCAGUAUGGGAAGUUUGAGAUAAGGACGAGUGAGGGGUUAAAAUUCAGUGGCCAUUGAUUUUGUAAUGCCAAGAACCACAAAAUCCAAUGGUUACCAUUCCUGUAAGAUGAGGUUUGCUAACUCUUUUUGUCCGUUAGAUAGGAAGCCUUAUCACUAUAUAUACAAGGCGUCCUAAUAACCUCUUAGUAACCAAUUAUUUCAGCAAUGGCUUCUUCAGUAAUGUCCUCAGCAGCUGUUGCCACCCGCGGCAAUGGUGCACAAGCUAGCAUGGUUGCACCCUUCACUGGACUCAAGUCCACCGCUUCUUUCCCUGUUUCAAGGAAGCAAAACCUUGACAUUACCUCCAUUGCUAGCAACGGUGGAAGAGUCAGUUGCAUGCAGGUUUGUGUGUGUAUAUAUAUAUACGUACAACAAAAUUCAUUGACUAUAAUGUUAUACUCGAUUAGCUAAUUUAACUAUUUAUAAUUGUAUAGGUGUGGCCACCAAUUAACAUGAAGAAGUACGAGACUCUGUCGUACCUUCCUGAUUUGUCCGACGAGCAAUUGCUCAGCGAAAUUGAGUACCUAUUGAAAAAUGGAUGGGUUCCUUGCUUGGAAUUCGAGACUGAGGUCAACAUCUAUCUCCUCUGUUUUUAAAAUUUACUAGCUAGUAUGUUGAUAUGUCGUGUUAACAGUGUUGUGGGAUAUCAUGUGCAGCACGGAUUUGUGUACCGUGAGAACCAUAAGUCACCAGGAUACUACGAUGGCAGAUACUGGACCAUGUGGAAGUUGCCCAUGUUCGGGUGCACUGAUGCAACCCAGGUCUUGGCUGAGGUGCAGGAGGCAAAGAAGGCUUACCCACAGGCAUGGGUCCGUAUCAUCGGAUUCGACAAUGUUCGUCAAGUGCAGUGCAUCAGUUUCAUCGCUUACAAGCCCGAAGGAUACUAAGUUCUAGAAAAACUAAUUGCCCUAUGUUUAUAGGGACAGUUUGUUUGAAUUCUCCUUUGGGUUUUCCCUUGAGAAAUUGUAUUCAUUUUCCCUUGUUUUCCAUCUUUUUAUUCCGUGUAUGAUUAAUUCGAAUUUCAAUCAAGUUUACAAGAACUAUAUUAAUGAUAUUUGUUUCUUUACUAAUCUCUUUCUGAAAAAUUGCUUAAUUUGUGGUUUAUUUAUAUAGCUAGUGAAGAAACCUUACCCAGAACACGAACCAGGUUCGUGUAGUAAAGAUACAAACACUUAUUGAAUUAAAAAC